GGUAGGGAUGACAACAUGUUAUAUUGAUAGAGGUGGUAGGGAUGACAACAUGUUAUAUUGAUAGAGGUGGUAGGGAUGACAACAUGUUAUAUUGAUAGAGGUGGUAGGGAUGACAACAUGUUAUAUUGAUAGAGGUGGUAGGGAUGACAACAUGUUAUAUUGAUAGAGGCAGUAGGGAUGACAACAUGUUAUAUUGAUAGAGGUGGUAGGGAUGACAACAUGUUAUAUUGAUAGAGGUGGUAGGGAUGACAACAUGUUAUAUUGAUAGAGGCAGUAGGGAUGACAACAUGUUAUAUUGAUAGAGGUGGUAGGGAUGACAACAUGUUAUAUUGAUAGAGGUGGUAGGGAUGACAACAUGUUAUAUUGAUAGAGGCAGUAGGGAUGACAACAUGUUAUAUUGAUAGAGGUGGUAGGGAUGACAACAUGUUAUAUUGAUAGAGGUGGUAGGGAUGACAACAUGUUAUAUUGAUAGAGGUGGUAGGGAUGACAACAUGUUAU